rnacentral:rRNA from 1 species
UCCAUGCAAGUGGAGCGAACCCAUUGAAAGCCUAGCUUUCAUGAGGUGAGCGGCGGACGGGGAGUUACACGUGGGUAACGUGCCUUAUAGAAUGGGAUAACUCGCGGAAACGCGUGCUAAUACCGGAUAACACAUCAGAGUGCAUGCUUUGGUGUUGAAAGAUGGUUCUGCUAUCAUUAUAGGAUGGGCCCGCGGCGCAUUAGCUUGUUGGUGGGGUAACGGCCUACCAAGGCGACGAUGCGUAGCCGACGUGAGAGGGUGAUCGGCCACACUGGGACUGAGACACGGCCCAGACUCUUACGGGGGGCAGCAGUAGGGAAUCUUCCACAAUGGGCGAAAGCUUGAUGGAGCAACGCCGCGUGAGCGAAGAAGGUCUUCGGAUCGUAAAGCUCUGUUGUAAGGGAAGAACAAGUGCAGUAGUAACUGGCUGCACCUUGACGGUACCUUACUAGAAAGCCACGGCUAACUACGUGCCAGCAGCCGCGGUAAUACGUAGGUGGCAAGCGUUGUCCGGAAUUAUUGGGCGUAAAGCGCGCGCAGGCGGUCUAUUAAGUAUGAUGUGAAAGCCCCCGGCUUAACCGGGGAGGGUCAUUGGAAACUGGGAGACUUGAGUGCAGGAGAGGGAAGCGGAAUUCCAUGUGUAGCGGUGAAAUGAGUAGAGAUAUGGAGGAACACCAGUGGCGAAGGCGGCUUCCUGGCCUGUAACUGACGUUGAGGCGCGAAAGCGUGGGGAGCAAACAGGAUUAGAUACCCUGGUAGUCCACGCCGUAAACGAUGAGUGUUAAGUGUUAGGGGGUUUCCACCCCUUAGUGCUGCAGCUAACGCAUUAAGCACUCCGCUUUGGGGAGUACGGUCGCAAGACUGAAACUCAAAGGAAUUGACGG